rnacentral:lncRNA from 1 species
AAUUAUUAGUUUCUAUAGUAUAUGUACACUGAUUUAUGUACUAACACCCACAUACUCACAUUCACACUCACACUCACACUCACACUCACACUCACACUCACACUCAUACUCACACAUACGCACACUCGCACAUACACAAACACUGGCUAUCACCUCCAAUCAAAUAAGCCGAGGCAAAAUUUCGUAUUUCUUUGCAUAGAAUUAGGCAUAAGAAUGGGCUUCUUCUUUUGAUGAAUUGGGUACGCUAAAUACCCAAUUAUGAUAGACUAUCUAAAUUUUUUUUCUUGUUUAUACUUGUUUUUCUUAUUGUUGAUGAGUUUCAUCUUUAUCGAGUUUGCUUGUAAAUCAACAACAAUGAAAGCAAAUUUUCAUCGAGGCAGAUCUCUUUAUGUUAUUCAUAUUUGAGAUCUUGAUCUUGCAAGCUUCAUUUUAUACAGUUGAUUGCUAGCAGUUAUAUACAAUUAUCAAUGUUUGUAUACACAUGAUAUUCCCACGCACAUGCACUCGUACGUGUUGAUAAGUGCAUAUAUGCUGUGUAUGUUUAUAAUAUAGACUGAUAUAUAUGACCAUAUAGACCCUUAUUAUGAGUUUGUAUAUCUAUACAGUGUGUAUAUAUACGACAUGUAUAUACUGAAGUGUUUAUGCAUGUAUGUAUAAACUUGCUAUCAGUUAUAUAUACACUGAUAUGCAUAUACACAUGCACCAUUACGCAUUGAUAGUGCAUACAAACAUUUAUAUAUACACACCCUUAUCAGUUUAUACAGUUAUUAACGUAUAUAUACAGUGAUAUGUUUAUUCGCACACUCAUGUGCAUAUGUAUAAACGGUUUAUGUGCACACUAAUGUAUAAGACCAUGUAUAUACUUUAUUAUCAGUGGUACAUAAAGUUAUUAGCACAAUUUAUGUAUGUAUUGAUGUAUAGUAGUAUAUACUAUUAAUUUCAGUGUAUAUAUAUAUAUAUACUGAUGCAUAUAACCGUACAAUACGUUAGUUAUCAGCUAUAUAUACAGUUAUUAGUAUGUAAAAAAUACGUUGAUAUGUGUGUGUGCGUGCGUGAUGUCUAUAUAUAUACGAUGUGUAUAUUUUGAUAUGUGUGCAUGUGUAAACUGUAUAUAUAUAGUGCACUAAUAUGUAGAUUUCUAUAUAUGUUGAUGUAUAUGACCAUAUAUAUUUAUUAUCAGUUUAUACAAUUAUUAACGUUUAUGUACAUCGAUUUAUAUACUAAACACACUCACUCACACACUCACACUCACACUCACUGACACAGGGUCACACACUCACUCACACACACAUGCAGACACACACUCACUUACAUUCACACUCACACUCAGAUAUAUAUUCUAUACGUAUAUGCAUGUAUGUAUACAGUUGUUUUGUAUCUGUUAAGUACAUUUAUAAAUGUAUAUGUACACUUGCAUGUGCACGUACAUGCAUCUU